UACAGAGGUCCCAAGCGUUGUUCGGAUUCACUGGGCGUAAAGGGUGCGUAGGCGGUCGGGUAAGUCUGAUGUGAAAUCUCACAGCUUAACUGUGAAACUGCAUUGGAUACUAUUCGGCUUGAGAGUUGGAGGGGGACUGGAAUUCUUGGUGUAGCAGUGAAAUGCGUAGAUAUCAAGAGGAACACCAGUGGCGAAGGCGAGUCCCUGGACAACUUCUGACGCUGAGGCACGAAAGCUAGGGAGCAACAGG
rnacentral:rRNA from 1 species